UACGUAGGGUGCAAGCGUUAAUCGGAAUUACUGGGCGUAAAGCGUGCGCAGGCGGUUUUGUAAGUCUGACGUGAAAUCCCCGGGCUCAACCUGGGAAUUGCGUUGGAGACUGCAAGGCUAGAAUCUGGCAGAGGGGGGUAGAAUUCCACGUGUAGCAGUGAAAUGCGUAGAGAUGUGGAGGAACACCGAUGGCGAAGGCAGCCCCCUAGGUCAAGAUUGACGCUCAUGCACGAAAGCGUGGGGAGCAAACAGG
rnacentral:rRNA from 1 species